rnacentral:rRNA from 1 species
ACGGCUCAGUAACACGUGGAUAACCUGCCCUUGGGUCCGGCAUAACCCCGGGAAACUGGGGAUAAUUCCGGAUAACGCAUAUAUGCUGGAAUGCUUUCUGCGUAAAAUGGAUUCGUCUGCCCAAGGAUGGGUCUGCGGCCUAUCAGGUAGUAGUGGGUGUAAUGUACCUACUAGCCUACGACGGGUACGGGUUGUGAGAGCAAGAGCCCGGAGAUGGAUUCUGAGACAUGAAUCCAGGCCCUACGGGGCGCAGCAGGCGCGAAAACUUUACAAUGCGGGAAACCGUGAUAAGGGGACACCGAGUGCCAGCAUCAUAUGCUGGCUGUCCGGGUGUGUAAAAUACACCUGUUAGCAAGGGCCGGGCAAGACCGGUGCCAGCCGCCGCGGUAACACCGGCGGCCCGAGUGGUGAUCGUGAUUAUUGGGUCUAAAGGGUCCGUAGCCGGUUUGGUCAGUCCUCCGGGAAAUCUGACAGCUUAACUGUUAGGCUUUCGGAGGAUACUGCCAGACUUGGAACCGGGAGAGGUAAGAGGUACUACAGGGGUAGGAGUGAAAUCUUGUAAUCCCUGUGAGACCACCUGUGGCGAAGGCGUCUUACCAGAACGGGUUCGACGGUGAGGGACGAAAGCUGGGGGCACGAACCGGAUUAGAUACCCGGGUAGUCCCAGCCGUAAACGAUGCUCGCUAGGUGUCAGGCAUGGCGCGACCGUGUCUGGUGCCGCAGGGAAGCCGUGAAGCGAGCCACCUGGGAAGUACGGCCGCAAGGCUGAAACUUAAAGGAAUUGGCGGGGGAGCAC